GUCGAGCCGGUGGCUGGGAAGGCAAGAAGUCGGCAUAGCUGUUUGAAUAAGAUACACGGCUGUGUCACUUCGAGCCAGCUCAAUCCGCCGGCUUUCUUCAAUUUCAAGAUUUGCGGAUGCU
rnacentral:pre_miRNA from 1 species